rnacentral:rRNA from 1 species
GAGGCAGCAGUGAGGAAUAUUGGACAAUGGAGGCAACUCUGAUCCAGCCAUGCCGCGUGCAGGAAGACUGCCCUAUGGGUUGUAAACUGCUUUUAUACAGGAAGAAACCUCCCCACGUGUGGGGAGCUGACGGUACUGUAUGAAUAAGGAUCGGCUAACUCCGUGCCAGCAGCCGCGGUAAUACGGAGGAUCCAAGCGUUAUCCGGAAUCAUUGGGUUUAAAGGGUCCGUAGGCGGGUUUAUAAGUCAGUGGUGAAAGUCUGUCGCUUAACGAUAGAAUUGCCAUUGAUACUGUAGAUCUUGAAUUAUUAUGAAGUGGUUGGAAUGAGUAGUGUAGCGGUGAAAUGCAUAGAUAUUACUCAGAACACCUAUUGCGAAGGCAGAUCACUAAUAAUAUAUUGACGCUGAUGGACGAAAGCGUAGGUAGCGAACAGGAUUAGAUACCCUGGUAGUCUACGCCGUAAACGAUGGUCACUAGCUGUCCGGCCUAAUUGAGGGCUGGGUGGCCAAGCGAAAGUGAUAAGUGACCCACCUGGGGAGUACGUUCGCAAGAAUGAAACUCAAAGGAAUUGACGGGGGCCCGCACAAGCGGUGGAGCAUGUGGUUUAAUUCGAUGAUACGCGAGGAACCUUACCAGGGCUUAAAUGCAGUCUGACAGGAGUGGAAACACUCCCUUCUUCGGACAGAUUGCAAGGUGCUGCAUGGUUGUCGUCAGCUCGUGCCGUGAGGUGUCAGGUUAAGUCCUAUAACGAGCGCAACCCCUGUGGUUAGUUGCCAGCACGUAAUGGUGGGAACUCUAGCCAGACUGCCGGUGCAAACCGCGAGGAAGGUGGGGAUGACGUCAAAUCAUCACGGCCCUUACGUCCUGGGCCACACACGUGCUACAAUGGUAGGGACAGAGGGCAGCUACCCCGCGAGGGGAUGCGAAUCUUCAAACCCUAUCACAGUUCGGAUCGCAGUCUGCAACUCGACUGCGUGAAGCUGGAAUCGCUAGUAAUCGCACAUCAGCCAUGGUGCGGUGAAUACGUUCCCGGGCCUUGUACACACCGCCCGUCAAGCCAUGGAA